rnacentral:rRNA from 1 species
CCUACGGGAGGCAGCAGUGGGGGAUAUUGCACAAUGGGGGGAACCCUGAUGCAGCGACGCCGCGUGUGGGAAGACGGUCCUCUGGAUUGUAAACCACUGUCCCCAGGGACGAAAAUGACGGUACCUGGGGAGGAAGCUCCGGCUAACCACGUGCCAGCAGCCGCGGUAAUACGUGGGGAGCGAGCGUUGUCCGGAAAUACUGGGUGAAAGGGGAGCGUAGGCGGGGAUGCAAGUUGGGUGUCAAAACUACCGGCUCAACUGGUAGUCGAACUCAAAACUGCAGCUCUUGAGUGAAGUAGAGGCAGGCGGAAUUCCUAGUGUAGCGGUGAAAUGCGUAGAUAUUAGGAGGAACACCAGUGGCGAAGGCGGCCUGCUGGGCUUUUACUGACGCUGAGGCGCGAAAGUGUGGGGAGCAAACAGGAUUAGAUACCCUAGUAGUC